rnacentral:rRNA from 1 species
UACAGAGGGUGCAAGCGUUAAUCGGAAUUACUGGGCGUAAAGCGUGCGCAGUCGGUUAUUUAAGUCGGAUGUGAAAUCCCCGGGCUCAACCUGGGAAUUGCAUUCGAUACUGGAUGGCUAGAGUUCGGCAGAGGGAAGUGGAAUUUCAGGUGUAGCGGUGAAAUGCGUAGAUAUCUGGAGGAACACCGGUGGCGAAGGCGGCCACCUGGACGGUAACUGGACGCUGAGACGCGAAAGCGUGGGGAGCAAACAGG